rfam:Chelonia mydas contig220484, whole genome shotgun sequence.
CCAUGCCCUUAUCAAAUCCACAGCACUCCUAUAGCUGACGUAGUUGAAAAGAAGCCAAGAAUGACUCAUUUUUCUUUACUGUCCCUGUCCAGUUUGUUCCAUUGGCCAGCUGCACAGUUACCUGAGAUGUCUAGU